UACGUAGGUGGCGAGCGUUGUCCGGAAUUACUGGGUGUAAAGGGAGCGUAGGCGGGAGAGCAAGUCGACUGUGAAAUCUAUGGGCUUAACCCAUAGCUGCGAUCGAAACUGUUCAUCUUGAGUGAAGUAGGGGCAGGCGGAAUUCCUAGUGUAGCGGUGAAAUGCGUAAAUAUUAGGAGGAACACCAGUGGCGAAGGCGGCCUGCUGGGCUUUAACUGACGCUGAGGCUCGAAAGCGUGGGUAGCAAACAGG
rnacentral:rRNA from 1 species